AGUUUGAUCCAGAGAGAUUUGAUGUGAACGCCCCAAAGCCUUAUUACUGCUACUACCCAUUUGCACUUGGUCCACGAACCUGUCUAGGGCAGGUUUUCUCACAGAUGGAGGCAAAAGUUGUGCUUGCCAAACUGCUUCAGAGAUUUGAGUUCAGUCUGGUUCCUGGACA